UCCGGUUUGGCACCGGCAGUCUCCCUAGAGUUCCCGGCAUCACCCGCUGGCAACUAAGGACAGGGGUUGCGCUCGUUGCGCCACUUAAGGCAACACCUCACGGCACGAGCUGACGACAGCCAUGCACCACCUGUGCAGGCUCCGAAGAGCACCCGCUUUCACGGGUUUCACCCUGCAUGUCAAGCCCAGGUAAGGUUCUUCGCGUUGCGUCGAAUUAAACCACAUGCUCCACCGCUUGUGCGGGCCCCCGUCAAUUCCUUUGAGUUUCAACCUUGCGGUCGUACUCCCCAGGCGGGGCACUUAAUGCGUUAGCGACGGCGCGGAUUCCGUUGGUUGGAGCCCACACCUAGCAUCCACCGUUUAGGGCGUGGACUAC
rnacentral:misc_RNA from 1 species